UCCUUCUGGUUCUGCUAUGUGAGAUGCCGCCUAAAAAUGGCUUGAUGAGUGGUGCUAGGUCCGUGCCCAGGAUCCAAACUGGUCAAAACUCUCGGCCACUUUAGUGGAGCGCAUGAACUCAACCACUCGGCCAUGGGGCUGGUCCCUCAAGCUUGUCUUUUUAAAGGAGCAGAUAAGCUGGAUUUUUGUCUAUUUGGCAGUUUCGAUCACCCUGUGAAGCGGACAGAAAUAUUGCUUCCAUUCAGCAGCACGCAACAAUUACUCCUCCUGUCCUGAUAUUUCCCUUGGACGAGCUGGCUCACCAUGCUGCGAACAUUUGUAAGCUUUGGGGAGGCUGAGUACCCCUGACGCUUAGCUAGAUUUUUGUUAGAAAGGGAUUCAUUUUGUAUAAUUCUUACAAUGCAUAUUAAACACGACUUGGAGUAUUAUGGC
rnacentral:lncRNA from 1 species